AUACCACAACAGCAGGAUGUACAACCCUUAUUGCAUAGAAAUGUUAUAAAUUAGAGUGUAUAUAAAUGUUUGGUUUUGUUUAUGAUGGUGCUUCUAUUUUUUACUCGCAUUAAUAGUUAACUGAUACAUCCUUUAUGUUUUAGUUCAUAUUUUCCUACAAGAAUGACGAGUAAUAAAAGAAACUAUCCAGGAUGGAGUAAACUUGAAGAUCAAAAGCUUGUUGAGGCUUUAGUAAAUAUGGUCAACACUGGAAGAUAUAAGUCUGAUAAUGGCUUUAAACCAGGUUUUUUACAACACCUAGAAGCUUGCUUGAAAGAAUCACUUCCAGAAUCGGGCAUUUUGGCUAGACCUCACAUUGAAUCUAGAAUAAAGACGAUGAGGAAAGAUUGGCAAGCAGUUUAUGAUUUGUUAAAUACUAAUGGAUUUGGCUAUGACAAAUAACGUAAUUGUGUGACCACUAAUGCUCCUGGAGUAUGGGAUGCUUAUCUUGAGAUUGAGCUCAAGGCAAUAGAGCCAAAAGUGUGGUCGAGAUGGAACAAGAGGUGAACAUGGAAGAACAAGAGCACCAAAGGGAUGAUGAUUUUGGUGAACAUAGCCAUAAUGAAAAUACAAAUGCAAGUUCUCAAUUUGAAGAAACUUCAAGUGGUCAUAGUAAGUAGAGGAAACGCACUAGCCAAGUCAAUACUUUAUUUCAAGGUUUCAAUGAUGCAGUUGUUCAAUUUGGUGAUCGUCUUAAAGAGACUUCGGCCGAGUUGAGUGAAGACAUAAAAUUUGAAUUUGACAUAAAAAAGAAAACUUUGAUGAUCCCUUCAUAGCUUUCAAAAACGACAUAUUUGAGUCAACUGGAAAUGUUUACGGCAAUUCAUAUAAUAAAUGAUGACCAUAGUAGGGUGAUGACGUUUUGGACUUUGGGUGAAGUAGAAAGAGAGGCUUGAGUGAGGUUUAUGCUGUCUAAGUUUGGCUGAGAAACUUGUUUAAAGAAUUUGAAGUAGUAUUUACAUUUUGGAACCAACUCUAGUUGUAUGUUUAAGUUAACUUUUAGUCGCA